GACGAACGCUGGCGGCGUGCUUAACACAUGCAAGUCGAACGGAAAGGCCCUGCUUUUGUGGGGUGCUCGAGUGGCGAACGGGUGAGUAGCACGUGAGUAACCUGCCCUUGACUUUGGGAUAACUUCAGGAAACUGGGGCUAAUACCGGAUAGGAGCUCCUGCUGCAUGGUGGGGGUUGGAAAGUUUCGGCGGUUGGGGAUGGACUCGCGGCUUAUCAGCUUGUUGGUGGGGUAGUGGCUUACCAAGGCUUUGACGGGUAGCCGGCCUGAGAGGGUGACCGGCAACAAUGGGACUGAGAUACGGACCAGACGCAUACGGGAGGCAGCAGUGGGGAAUAUUGCAGAAUGGGCGGAAGCCUGAGGCAGCAACGCCGGGUGCGGGAUGACGGGCUUCGGGUUGUAAACCGCUUUGGACUGAGACGAGGCGUGAGUGACGGUAAUGGGUAAAGAAGCACCGGCUAACUACGUG
rnacentral:rRNA from 1 species